UGGGGAAUAUUGCGCAAUGGGGGAAACCCUGACGCAGCAACGCCGCGUGAAGGAUGAAGGUCUUCGGAUUGUAAACUUCUUUAGUCGGGGACGAAGAAAUGACGGUACCCGAAGAAUAAGCCACGGCUAACUACGUGCCAGCAGCCGCGGUAAUACGUAGGUGGCGAGCGUUGUCCGGAAUUACUGGGUGUAAAGGGCGUGUAGGCGGGAUUGUAAGUCAGAUGUGAAAUUCUGAGGCUUAACCUCAGCGCUGCAUCUGAAACUACAAUUCUUGAGUGCUGGAGAGGAAAGCGGAAUUCCUAGUGUAGCGGUGAAAUGCGUAGAUAUUAGGAGGAACACCAGUGGCGAAGGCGGCUUUCUGGACAGUAACUGACGCUGAGGCGCGAAAGCGUGGGGAGCAAACAGG
rnacentral:rRNA from 1 species